UUGCAAAAAGAUAGAAAGAGUGA
rnacentral:snRNA from 1 species